GCGGCGGCGGCGGCCGGCGGCGGGGCUCGGGGGCCGGCGUUUUCGUCGUGGCGGCGCCGCGGGAUGGCGGAGGGCUUGGAUCAUUUCAAAAAAGACUACAGAGCAAGAUUCUGCCAUGGAGGAGGAAAGAAGAUUGAUAUACAACCAGGUCAAAAUGUAUUGAAAUUCAUUCAGGAUUGUUUUGAAAGCUGUGAUAGUGAACUUACAAUAAGCUCUCCAUGCACAGCCUGUUGCUCAACUCCUGUUGGCAGAAACCAAACGAGGACUUCAAUACAGAGCCAAAGGUCAAAUGCAGGGUUAACAAACUCGGUGAAGAGAACCUGUAUUUCUUCAGCGUCCGUACCCGCAUCACCACCAGAUACUGUCAGUAGCCAAGGAGGGCUGCACAAAUCCUACCUGACGCCUGCAAUACACGGUUAUGCAGCUGAUUCUAAGAAAACAGAGAGCCCUUUGUCUAAAGGAGAGGCUCAUGACACGUUAAAAGAUGCCGAAGCACUAUGCAAAAGCCCUGCUGAGUUCGUGGAUCCUGAGGAUGAUAACGGGGCUUUGGGAUCACCUCUCCUUGUGGAGGAAGCAAAAAGUUCUCCUGUACAUAUAUUACAUUUUGAUGACCAAAAUACUCCUGCUGUGGUGAAGAGCCGUGCAGAAGUUGUCGGUUUGGAAGGACCUCAAACUGGGAGAGAUGAGCAGACUCUCACACAGAGAGCAGAACGUACCACUGUGUCAUCUGUACGGAAGCGGAAGUCGUCUUUCUCUUCAGCUUUCUUAGCAGCUGUAACAACAGGGACAGUUGGGAAAAGGUAUACAGCCUCAAUAUCACCACCAUCACCUCCUGUUGUAAAAGAUGAGGACGUAGAACUAGAGAGUGAAUGUGAGUUUUUAAUCGAUGAAUCAGAUGGUCUGUCUUCUAAUUCUUGGUUUUCAAUACCCCAGAAGAAUAACAAGUCCAAAAAAGAUGGCUCUGCAACCCCUGUUACGAAAUCUCAGUCCUCUGAAAAGGAAAAGACAGAAGGUAAGAAAGGCAAGACUGGGAAGGUACAGGCUGAAGCAUUUACUGAACAGAAAAUGCACAAUUUGGAUGUCAGAGUGCAACAUGACUUCAAAGGAAUGUCACAGUCAGAUCCAGUCUCCUCUAAAGGUGAAGGAAAUGGACUUAAAUCUCAAAAGCAAAGCAGUACACAUGUGGGAAAAUCUAAAAAGGAUGCACUUCAUCAAGACUCUCCAAGACGCAGAAAGAUGUCCUGCGGACCAGAAGCUGAGCAACUGAUGUUGUCACUGUGUGGAUCGGACACAGAAGGAUAUGAUGAAGAACAUAAAAAAAGGGUGAUGCCAAAUGAGGAUUCACCAAUGCCCUCAGCUGAGCAUCAUGAAGAGCAGAUGCCAUCUCCAAAAGAGAAUCUCAAGUCUUCCAAGUAUCUGCAGUCUGCUUCAAAAGCUUUUCUGCAUUCAAUUCACAAGAAACACACUGCUAAGCAGAAACUUCAAGAAUCAAAAGAUAAGCUGUCUAAGAAACGGGCAGAAAGUCAAAGGAAAAAGCUUAAAAAAUCUGCAAAGAAAAGUAGUAAUAAAAAGCCUCAGUUAAAAAGAGGGGAGAGCUCUGAUAGUGAAUCCAGUGAAGAAGGGCUUGAAAGAGAACCAGUCGAAUUGAAUGAAAUGUUUACCUCACCUCUGCGUCAGAAAUUAGAGAAUUCUGUACUUCAGAAGCUGGCUUUGUCUGAAAAACCUAAGAAUGUAUUGCAUGCAUUGGAAUCGCUCUGUGGUGUUUAUAACAAAACUCCUGUAAAAGCUGCAGAGCUACUGCAGCGUCUCACAGACAGCAUACAGAAUUCUGAAAAGAAAAAUUCUGAAAAGAAAAGAUCGUUGGUUAAGUCUUCAGGAAAGACACUCAAAAAGAUUAAUCACAGAACCCAUAAAGGUGUUUCCUCAAACCCUGAGGACACUGAGCCUCAAAAUACAACGGAUUCUGACAGCUCUUCUGCACACGAGGUGGCAAGAAAAAAACACAAGCAAUCAGAUGCGAAAAUAAAAAGUAACAAAAGAAAACAUAGUGCACAACAUAGACUACAAGAUUCCUCUGCAGCUGUGAAAGUUAUGAGUUGUGAAAGUGGGCCUGUUCUAGAACAUUGUGAUGAAUUUACUUCCAGAAGUAAGUGUUGUGAACAGGAUAAUGAAUCUUCAGAUGAUUCUGAAGACUUGCAUUAUCAAGUAAGAAAUUUGUCAGACAAGAUAAGCAGACGUAAAAUAGUAAUGCCUUCCAACACACCUAAUGUUCGUCGGACAAAAAGGAUACGACUAAAACCUCUGGAAUAUUGGCGAGGCGAGCGUGUAAACUAUACGAUGAGACCUUCAGGAGGGCUGACGAUUAGUGGAAUAGUGUGUCCAGAAACAGAACCUCGCAGGAAGAAUAGACAGAAGAAGAUUCGUCAUAAGGAGAAAAGAAAUUAUACAAAAAAUGAGGUAGCUAAAAAAUUGAAUUGCACCCUGGCUGAUACUUCUAAGCCAACCAUUGUAGUGGACCCAGUAACAAAUCAGGAAGUUCUUCAAGAGUGUAUUAACACUGGAAACAGUCACUUGAGUUUCUUCAAAGAUGAAUCGGUAGAAAUAUAUAAAAAUCUGAAUACAUCUACUUUUUCCACUGGUAAAUUAAUCUUGAAGCCACUUAAAGAAAAAGGACAGCAAUUUGUCUACAUGGAUACAAUAGCUUUCCAUGUUAUCCAUGGCAAAAUUGUUGUUACUUUGCAUAAGACAUCAUAUUGUCUGACUUCGGGGGCCUUCUUCUAUAUUCCAGCAGGAAAUCAAUAUAACAUCCGUAAUCUUCUGAACGAAGAAAGUGUUCUCCUUUUCACGCAGUUCAAAAACGACAGCAUCACUAGCUAACACGAGAAUGGAUCAAGAUAUCUGAUACGUGGUGCCACCGCGUGGGUGUCUUCUGGAAUCGAUAUGCUGUAAAGAGGGAGAGGAGUGAUGAGAGAGGUGUAAACGUAAUGAAGAGCCGUGCUACUUGGCAGACCAAUUGUAACAAGCACGUUGUUGGAGCCCGAGCCCUCUUCCCCAUAAGUUCACCUGCAAGUUGAUCAUCUAAUGCGAGCGAGUUCUGAAGAACACUGUUAACUACCAUCCAACUGGAAAUAUACCUGUAUUGGAAGCACAUAGUUUCAUUGAUCUUAAGAGAUCUUCCUCCAGUGUAAAUUGUAAAUAGAUGGCUACAAAUUACUUUUCUGUUUUGUAUCAAUAAAUGUUAAAUAAUACAAAUCA